rnacentral:rRNA from 1 species
ACGGGAGGCAGCAGUAGGGAAUUUUCGUCAAUGGGGGGAACCCUGAACGAGCAAUGCCGCGUGAGCGAAGAAGGAUUUCGGUCUGUAAAGCUCUGUUGUGAAGGAAGAACGGGCGCCAUAGGGAAUGAUGGCGCAGUGACGGUACUUCACCAGAAAGCCACGGCUAACUACGUGCCAGCAGCCGCGGUAAUACGUAGGUGGCAAGCGUUAUCCGGAAUUAUUGGGCGUAAAGGGAGCGUAGGCGGCGCGAUAAGUCUGGAGUGAAAUGUACCGGCUCAACCGGUAAACUGCUCUGGAAACUGUCGUGCUGGAGUGCAGGAGAGGCGAAUGGAAUUCCAUGUGUAGCGGUAAAAUGCGUAGAUAUAUGGAGGAACACCAGUGGCGAAGGCGGUUCGCUGGCCUGCAACUGACGCUGAGGCUCGAAAGCGUGGGGAGCAAAUAGGAUUAGAUACCCUGGUA